rnacentral:rRNA from 1 species
CGCGUGAGUAACCUGCCCUAGAGUGGGGGACAACAGUUGGAAACGACUGCUAAUACCGCAUAAGCCCACGGUGCCGCAUGACACUGAGGGAAAAGGAUUUAUUCGCUUUAGGAUGGACUCGCGUCCAAUUAGCUAGUUGGUGAGGUAACGGCCCACCAAGGCGACGAUUGGUAGCCGGACUGAGAGGUUGAACGGCCACAUUGGGACUGAGACACGGCCCAGACUCCUACGGGAGGCAGCAGUGGGGGAUAUUGCACAAUGGGGGAAACCCUGAUGCAGCGACGCCGCGUGGAGGAAGAAGGUUUUCGGAUUGUAAACUCCUGUCGUUAGGGACGAUAAUGACGGUACCUAACAAGAAAGCACCGGCUAACUACGUGCCAGCAGCCGCGGUAAAACGUAGGGUGCAAGCGUUGUCCGGAAUUACUGGGUGUAAAGGGAGCGCAGGCGGGAAGACAAGUUGGAAGUGAAAACCAUGGGCUCAACCCAUGAAUUGCUUUCAAAACUGUUUUUCUUGAGUAGUGCA